rnacentral:rRNA from 1 species
GAUGAACGCUGGCGGCGUGCUUAACACAUGCAAGUCGAACGAAGCACUUUAUUUGAUUUCCUUCGGGACUGAUUAUUUUGUGACUGAGUGGCGGACGGGUGAGUAACGCGUGGGUAACCUGCCUUGUACAGGGGGAUAACAGUUGGAAACGGCUGCUAAUACCGCAUAAGCGCCCAGCAUCGCAUGAUGCAGUGUGAAAAACUCCGGUGGUAUAAGAUGGACCCGCGUUGGAUUAGCUAGUUGGUGAGGUAACGGCCCACCAAGGCGACGAUCCAUAGCCGACCUGAGAGUGUGACCGGCCACAUUGGGACUGAGACACGGCCCAAACUCCUACGGGAGGCAGCAGUGGGGAAUAUUGCACAAUGGGCGAAAGCCUGAUGCAGCGACGCCGCGUGAGCGAAGAAGUAUUUCGGUAUGUAAAGCUCUAUCAGCAGGGAAGAUAAUGACGGUACCUGACGAAGAAGCACCGGCUAAAUACGUG